AACGAACGCUGGCGGCAGGCUUAACACAUGCAGGUCGAACGCACCGCAAGGUGAGUGGCAGACGGGUGAGUAACACGUGGGGAUCUGCCCAAUGGUACGGAAUAGCUCCGGGAAACUGGAAUUAAUACCGUAUGAGCCCGCAAGGGGAAAGAUUUAUCGCCAUUGGAUGAACCCGCGUCGGAUUGGCUAGUUGGUGUGGUAAAGGCGCACCAAGGCGACGAUCCGUAGCUGGUCUGAGAGGAUGAUCAGCCACACUGGGACUGAGACACGGCCCAGACUCCUACGGGAGGCAGCAGUGGGGAAUAUUGGACAAUGGGCGCAAGCCUGAUCCAGCCAUGCCGCGUGAGUGACGAAGGCCUUAGGGUUGUAAAGCUCUUUCGCCGACGAAGAUAAUGACGGUAGUCGGAGAAGAAGCCCCGGCUAACUUCGUGCCAGCCGCCGCCGUAAAAC
rnacentral:rRNA from 1 species